GACGAACGCUGGCGGCGUGCCUAAUACAUGCAAGUAGAACGUACAGUUUAUACCGUAGCUUGCUACACCAUAAACUGUGAGUUGCGAACGGGUGAGUAACGCGUAGGUAACCUGCCUGGUAGCGGGGGAUAACUAUUGGAAACGAUAGCUAAUACCGCAUAAUAUUGAUUAUUGCAUGAUAAUUGAUUGAAAGAUGCUAUUGCAUCACUACCAGAUGGACCUGCGUUGUAUUAGCUAGUAGGUGAGGUAACGGCUCACCUAGGCGACGAUACAUAGCCGACCUGAGAGGGUGAUCGGCCACACUGGGACUGAGACACGGCCCAGACUCCUACGGGAGGCAGCAGUAGGGAAUCUUCGGCAAGGGACGAAAGUCUGACCGAGCAACGCCGCGUGAGUGAAGAAGGUUUUCGGAUCGUAAAGCUCUGUUGUAAGAGAAGAACGGGUGUGAGAGUGGAAAGUUCACACUGUGACGGUAUCUUACCAGAAAGGGACGGCUAACUACGUG
rnacentral:rRNA from 1 species